UACGAAGGGGGCUAGCGUUGUUCGGAAUCACUGGGCGUAAAGCGCACGUAGGCGGAUCUUUAAGUCAGGGGUGAAAUCCCGAGGCUCAACCUCGGAACUGCCUUUGAUACUGGAGAUCUCGAGUUCGGGAGAGGUGAGUGGAACUGCGAGUGUAGAGGUGAAAUUCGUAGAUAUUCGCAAGAACACCAGUGGCGAAGGCGGCUCACUGGCCCGAUACUGACGCUGAGGCACGAAAGCGUGGGGAGCAAACAGG
rnacentral:rRNA from 1 species